rnacentral:rRNA from 1 species
CAUGCAAGUCAACGAGAAUUUAUCUUCGGAUAAUAGUAAAGUGGCGAACGGGUGAGUAACGCGUAAAUAACUUGCCUUGGAGAUUGGGACAACAUUGGGAAACCAGUGCUAAUACCAAAUAAUGCAGCGGGCCCUUCGGGGCAUAGUUGUUAAAGUAGGCUUCGGCUUACACUUCAAGAUAGAUUUGCGUCCGAUUAGUUAGUUGGUAGGGUAAUAGCCUACCAAGACCGAGAUCGGUAGCUGGUCUGAGAGGAUGAUCAGCCACACUGGAAUUGAGAUACGGUCCAGACUCCUACGGGAGGCAGCAGUGAGGAAUUUUGCACAAUGGGCGAAAGCCUGAUGCAGCAACACCGCGUGAUUGAUGAAGUUUUUAGGAAUGUAAAAAUCUGUCGUAAGGGAAGAAAUGUUUCGGAUGUUAAUACCAUCUGUUACUGACGGUACCUUACAAGAAAGGACCGGCUAACUUCGUGCCAGCAGCCGCGGUAAUACGAGGGGUCCUAGCGUUGUCCGGAUUUACUGGGCGUAAAGGGUACGUAGGCGUUUUAAUAAGUUGUAUGUUAAAUAUCUUAGCUUAACUAAGAAAGUGCAUACAAAACUGUUAAGAUAGAGUUUGAGAGAGGAACGCAGAAUUCAUGGUGGAGCGGUGACAUGCGUAGAUAUCAUGAGGAAAGUCAAAUGCGAAGGCAGCCUUCUGGCUCAAAACUGACGCUGAGGUACGAAAGCGUGGGGAGCGAACAGGAUUAGAUACCCUGGUAGUCCACGCCGUAAACGAUGAG